UAAACCUUUGCCAUCCAUGUACUUAUCCAAAUUUCUUUUAAAUGUAAUUAUUGUACCUGCCUCAAUUACUUUCUCUGGCAGCUAUUUCAAUAUAUAGUACCUUGAAGAAGUAUUCAGCCCCCACAAAUAUUUUCACAUUUUACUGUCUUAUUUUCUAAAUUUAGAAUAUAGUUUAGGAUUUUUUUUUGAUCUACAAAACAUUGUGCAUCAUGUCAAAUCAAAAGAAAAACUCCAAAUCCUAGUAACAAUUUACUAAAAAUUAAAAACCAAAAUUGUGAGGCUGAAAAAGUAUUCAUCCCCUUUGUAAUUACUAUGCUAACUUUCCUCAGGCACACUUGUUGAUGUAGAAAAUUGGAGGAUCAUCUGAAUAAAUACCCCCUCGCUGUUAGUUCCACCAGUAUGGUUGAUUUUCAACAGACCAAAGCAAAAUGAAGACAAAAGAGCGUUCAAGGCAAGUCAGGGAAAUGAUAAUCCAGAAGCACAAAUCUGGGAAAGUGUACAAGACAUCUCAAAGGAACUGAACAUACCUCAGAGCUCAGUACAAUCCAUCAUGAAAAAGUGGGAAAAAUAUAAAUCCACAGCCUAGGUCAGGCUGCCGCUCUAAACUUAGUUGCCAGCGGAGAAUGGCACUCGUAAGAGAGGCUAGUGUAACAACAACAGUCACUCUGAGUGAGCCACAGAAGCCAGUGGCUGUAAUAGAUGAGGUUCAUGGCUCCACAAUCUUUAAGGCCUUUACGGAAGAGUGGAAAGGAAGAAGCCCUGGCUAAAAAAAAACAUAUCCUUGCCCAUAAAGACUUUGCAAAGCAUCACUUAGAAUAUACUGUAAAGAUGUGGAAGAAAGUCUUGUGGUUGGAUGAGACUAAAGUGGAACAUUUUGGCCUCAACAAGUGGCACCUGCGGUGUAAAUCUAAAUCUGCGCAUCAGCCACGUAACAUCAAAGCAUGGUGGAGGUAGCAUCAUGGUAUGGGGAUACUUUUCUGCAGCAGGGACUAGAAAUCUGGUCAGGAUUGAUGGGAAGAUGAAUACUGCUAAAUACAGAGAGAUUCUGGAUGAAAACUUGUUAGUCCCCGCUGGAAAGCUUAAACUAGGGAGCAAGUUUAUCAUCCAGCAGGACAUCAACCCAAAGCACACAGCCAGAACAACCAUACAGUGGCUUCAAAUGAAGGAAAUUGAUGUCCUUGAGCAGCCCACUCAGAGUCCUGGCCUUAAACCAAUCAUACAUCUCUGUCACAAUCUCAAGAUUGCUGACCACAACUAAUCUGGCACAGCUUGAGAAAUUUUGCAAGGAGGAAAGGGAAAAUCUUGCUCCAUCACAUUUUGCAAGGCUAAUAGAGACUUACCUGAAUCCAAAAGCACUGCUGGCUGUAACACUCAGCAAGAGGUGGUUCAACUAACUACUGAGCAAAGGGGGAUGAAUACCUUUGAAAUGCCAUCAUUUCUGUUUCUCAUUUUUAGUUUGUCAUGCUUUAUAAUUUUCCCUGUUUUGGGGCUCAUGUGUAAAAAAAGGAGCAUGCGAUUCACAAAUAAAAAUUCUCAGUUAAAUUGAUCAAAAAUCGCUACUUAUUUAUGUGUAAGGGUUUCUUCUUUCAUGUCACUUGCUAAGGCUAAUAUGAAAUGGCUUCUCUGUAAUGUUAACUGAUGAGGUAAUGUUCUCUGUAGCAGCCUGUUUGGGUUAUAAUUAGUGAUAAUGGGAUUUGUAUUCAUUUGCUAACCAAUUGGGAUAGAUGUUAUUCUUUCUGUCUGUGUGAAAGCUGUUAGAUUGUGCGGGCUUGGAGAAGAAGGCGCUAGGAGGAUAAAGAGAGAAGACGUGGCUUGAGGGGACAGUUGCCAGACCUGCUGGGCCUAGGCUCGGGGCGGGAGCCCAGGGGCUGACUAGCAAAGGAGGAUCGGCGAAAGGGAAUCCGUGAGCUCCAAGCAUUGCAGCGAGCCCUUCCACCCCGAGACCGUGCUGUCCAAUUACCAAGGAAGCUGGAGCGUCCAGCCACAGAGAGAAGGCAUCACCUGAGGGAACACAGAACAGGAACUGGUCCUGCAUAGACCAGGAUGCCAAUCUAACUCAUCACAUCUGCCUCACAGGAUGUAAAGGAGGAGAUUCAUUUAAUAUAUUUUGAAUAGGACGUGAAGGAACACAAUCAGCCUACCGUUUUCCUACGAUACUCAGGCCUAAUCCUCUUCCAACUUUCUUCUGAAGAUCCACAAGAAAUAUAUCAAAGUUCUCCUCGUCUUUGUACUGUGCUUCGUCCCUGUAUACACUGUAUGGCAACAAAGGCUUUGCGUGUAGGAACAUUUCAGUUACUUCGUGGUGAUGUACCUGCACAGUGCCUGUGGGCUGCAUGAAUGCAUUAUGGAGACUGAUGGUAUCACUGCAGAUGCUUACAUAACUGUUCCUCAAGGACAGAAAAGUUGGGAAGAAAAGAUUUAACUUUUACUUUUUAAUUCUUAUUAAAAUGUUACCAUGUGAUACUUUGUUGUGUGUCUGGUACAACACUGCAAACAAAGACCUAUAACAAAAGAUACACGUUUUUUUGAGAUUGCGUCAUAGUUCCAAUGCCAUACUUCAGCACCUCAGCGUGUAACUCAACCAAUUUCUGUUUUAUACUUCUGUAUUUGUGCUUGAUUUAAUGAAGACUUACAAAAUAAAGUUGUGCCAAGAACAAAUUAGA